rnacentral:miRNA from 1 species
UUCUGACUUCUGGCCCCUGCU